GUUCCACCUCUUCCCAUUCCGAACAGAGAAGUUAAGCCCAUUAGCGCCGAUGGUACUGCAUAUUGUGGGAGAGUAGGUCGCCGCUGAUU
rnacentral:rRNA from 1 species